rnacentral:lncRNA from 1 species
UAGUUCUAGGGACUGUAUUUCACUCAAAACAUACCAAAUGACUCCUCCCACAAUAUUAUGAUGUUCCCCAAGUUUUGGACUCAAUCCGAUAUCGAUUGGUCCUUGAAAUCGGACAAUUCAGGUUUGUACGAAGUUUGUUCUGAAAUGGUGUGGUUGGUGUAUAUAGUUCUAGAGAUUGGAUUUCACUCAAAACCCACCGAAUGACUCCGCCCACAAUAUUAUGAUGUUCCCCAAGUUUUGGACUCAAACCGAUAUCGAUUGGUCCUUGAAAUCGGACAAUUCAGGUUCGUACGAAGUUCGUUCUUAAAUGGGGUGGUUGGUGCAUUGUAUAGUUCUAGGGAUUGGAUUUCACUCAAAAACCACCAACUGACUCCUCCCAGAAUAUUAUGAUGUUCCCCAAGUUUUGGACUCAAUCCGUUAUCGAUUGGUCCUUGAAAUCGGACAAUUCAGGUUCGUACGAAGUUCGUUCUUAAAUGGGGUGGUUGGUGCAUUGUAUAGUUCUAGAGAUUGGAUUUCACUCAAAACCCACCGAAUGACUACUCCCACAAUAUUAUGAAGUUCCCCAAGUUUGGGACACAAUCCGAUAUCGAUUGGUCCUUGAAAUCGGACAACUCAGUUCCUACGAAGUUCAUUCGGAAAUGGGGUGGUUGGUGUAUUGUAUAGUUCUAAAGAUUGGAUUUCACUCAAAACCGCCAUAUGACUCCUCCCAGAAUAUUAUGAUGUUCCCCAAGUUUUGGACUCAAUCCGAUAUCGAUUGGUCCUUGAAAUCGGACAAUUCAGGUUCCUACGAUGUUCGUUCUGAAAUGGGGUGGUUGGUGUAUUGUAUAGUUCAAGAGAUUGGAUUUCACUCAAAACCCACCAAAUGGCUCCUCCCACAAUAUUAUGAUGUUCCCCAAGUUUUGGACUCAAUCCGAUAUCGAUCGGUCAAUGAAAUUUGACAAUUCAGGUUCGUACGAAGUUCGUUCUGAAAUGGAGUGGUUGGUGUAUUGUACAGUUCUUGGGAUUGUAUUUCACUCAAAACUUACCAAAUGACUCCUCCCACAAUAUUAUGAUGUUCCCCAAGUUUUGGACUCAAUCCGUUAUCGAUUGGUCCUUGAAAUCGGACAAUUCAGGUUCGUACGAAGUUCGUUCUGAAAUGGGAUGGUUGGUGUAUUGUAUAGUUCUAGAGAUUGGAUUUCACUCAAAACCCACCAAAUGACUCCUCCCAGAAUAUUAUGAUGUUACCCAAGUUUUGGACUCAAUCCGAUAUCGAUUGGUCCUUGAAAUCGGACAAUUCAGGUUCGUACGAAGUUCGUUCUGAAAUGGGUUGGUUGGUGUAUUGUAUAGUCCUAGAGAUUGGAUUUCACUCAAAACCCACCGAAUGACUCCCCCCACAAUAUUAUGAUGUUCACCACGUUUUGGACUCAAUCCGAUAUCGAUUGGUCCUUGAAAUCGGACAGUUCAGGUUCCUACGAACUUCGUUCUGAAAUGGGGUGGUUGGUGUAUUGUAUAGUUCUAGAGUUUGGAUUUCACUCAAAACCCAUCAAAUGACUCCUACCACAAUAUUAUGAUGUUCCCCAAGUUUUGGACUCAAUCCGUUAUCGAUUCGUCAAUGAAAUCGGACAAUUCAGGUUCGUACGAAGUUCGUUCUGAAAUGGGGUGGUUGGUGUGUUGUAUAGUUCCAGAGAUUGGAUUUCACCCAAAACCCACCAAAUGACUCCUCCCACAAUAUUAUGAAGUUCCCCAUGUUUUGGACACAAUCCGAUAUCGAUUGGUCCUUGAAAUCGGACAAUUCAGGUUCCUACGAAGUUCGUUCUGAAAUGGGGUGGUUGGUGUAUUGUAUAGUUCUAAAGAUUGGAUUUCAUUCAAAACCCGCCAUAUGACUCCUCCCAGAAUAUUAUGAUGUUCCCCAAGUUUUGGACUCAAUCCGAUAUCGAUUGGCCCUUGAAAUCGGACAAUUCAGGUUCCGACGAAGUUCGUUCUGAAAUGGGUUGGUUGGUGUAUUGUAUAGUUCUAGAGAUUGGAUAUCACUCAAAACCCACCAAAUGACUCCUCCCACAAUAUUAUGAUGUUCCCCAAGUUUUGGACUCAAUCCGAUAUCGAUCGGUCAACGAAAUUUGACAAUUCAGGUUCGUACGUAGUUCGUUCUAAAAUGGAGUGGUUGGUGUAUUGUAUAGUUCUUCGGAUUGUAUUUCACUCAAAACUUUCCAAAUGACUCCUCCCACAAUAUUAUGAUGGUCCCCAAGUUUUGGACUCAAUCCGAUAUCGAUUGGUCCUUGAAAUCGGACAAUUCAAGUUCGUACGAAGUUCGUUCUGAAAUGGGGUGGUUGGUGUAUUGUAUAGUUGUAGAGAUUGGAUUUCACUCAAAACCCACCAAAUGACUCCUCCUAGAAUAUUGUGAUGUUCCCCAAGUUUUGGACUCAAUCCGAUAUCGAUUGGUCCUUGAAAUCGGACAACUCAGGUUCGUACGAAGUUCGUUCUGAAAUGGGUUGGUUGGUGUAUUGUAUAGUUCUAGAGAUUGGAUUUCACUCAAAACCCACCAAAUGCCUCCUCCCACAAUAUUAUGAGGUUCCCCAAGUUUUGGACUCAAUCCGAUAUCGAUUGGUCCUUGAAAUCGGACAAUUCAGGUUCCUACGAAGUUUGUUCUGAAAUGGGGUGGUCGGUGUAUUGUAUAGUUCUACAGAUUGGAUUUCACUCAAAACCCACCAAAUGACUCCUCCCACAAUAUUAUGAUGUUCCCCAAGUUUUGGACUCAAUCCGAUACCGAUCGGUCUACGAAAUUUGACAAUUCAGGUUCGUACGAAGUUCAUUCUGAAAUGGAGUGGUUGGUGUACUGUAUAGUUCUAGGGAUUGUAUUGCACUCAAAACUGACCAAAUGACUCCUCCCAUAAUAUUAUGAUGUUCCCCAAGUUUUGGACUCAAUCCGAUAUCGAUUGGUCCUUGAAAUCGGACAAUUCAGGUUUGUACGAACUUCGUUCUGAAAUGGGGUGGUUGGUGUAUUUUAUAGUUCUAGAGAUUGGAUUUCACUCAAAACCCACCGAACGACUCCUUCCACAAUAUGAUGAUGUUCCCCAUGUUUUGGACUCAAUCCGAUAUCGAUUGGUCCUUGAAAUCGGACAAUUCAGGUUCGUACGAAGUUCGUUCUAAAAUGGGGUGGUUGGUGUAUUGUAUAGUUCUAGAGAUUGGAUUUCACUCAAAACCCACCAAAUGACUCCUCCCAGAAUAUUAUGUUGUUCCCCAAGUUUUGGACUCAAUCCGUUAUCGAUUGGUCAAUGAAAUCGGACAAUUCGGGUUCGUACGAAGUUCGUUCUGAAAUGGGGUGGUUGGUGUAUUGUAUAGUUCUAGAGAUUGGAUUUCACUCAAAACCCACCAAAUGACUCCUCCCAGAAUAUUGUGAACUUCCCCCAGUUUUGGACUCAAUCCGAUAUCGAUUGGUCCUUGAAAUCGGACAAUUCAGUUCCUACUAAGUUCGUUUUGAAAUGGGUGGUUGGUGUAUUGUGUAGUUCUUAGAGACUUGGAUUUGACUCAAAACCCACCCAAUGACUCCUCCCACAAUAAUAAUGAUAUUCCCCAAGUUUUGAACUCAUUCCGAUUACCGAUCGGUCUACAAAUUUGACAGUUNNNNNNNNNNNNNNNNNNNNNNNNNNNNNNNNNNNNNNNNNNNNNNNNNNNNNNNNNNNNNNNNNNNNNNNNNNNNNNNNNNNNNNNNNNNNNNNNNNNNGGUUCGUACGAAGUUCGUUCUGAAAAUGGAGUGGUUGGUGUACUGUAUAGUUCUAGGGAUUGUAUUUCACUCAAAACUUACCAAAUGACUCCUCCCACAAUAUUAUGAUGUUCCCCAAGUUUUGGACUCAAUCCGAUAUCGAUUGGUCCUUGAAAUCGGGCAAUUCAUGUUCGUACGAAGUUCGUUCUGAAAUGGGGUGGUUGGUGUAUUUUAUAGUUCUAGAGAUUGGAUUUCACUCAAAACCCACCGAACGACUCCUCCCACAAUAUUAUGAUGUUCCCCAAUUUUGGACUCAAUCCGAUAUCGAUUGGUUCUUGAAAUCAGACAAUUCAGGUUCGUACGAAGUUCGUUCUGAAGUGGGGUGGUUGGUGUAUUGUAUAGUUCUAGAGAUUGGAUUUCACUCAAAACCCACCAAAUGACUCCUCUCAGAAUAUUAUGAUGUUCCCCAAGUUUUGGACUCAAUCCGUUAUCGAUUGGUCAAUGAAAUCGGACAAUUCAGGUUCGUACGAAGUUCGUUCUGAAAUGGUUUGGUUGGUGUAUUGUAUAGUUCUAGAGAUUGGAUUUCACUCAAAACCCACUAAAUGACUCCUCCCACAAUAUUAUGAAGUUCCCCAAGUUUUGGACUCAAUCCGAUAUCGAUUGGUCCUUGAAAUCGGAUAAUUCAGGUUCCUACGAAGUUCGUUUUGAAAUAGGGUGGUUGGUGUAUUGUGUAGUUCUUGAGAUUGGAUUUGACUCAAAACCCACCAAAUGACUCCUCCCACAAUAUUAUGAUGUUCCCCAAGUUUUGGACUCAAUCCAAUAACGAUUGGUUGAUGAAAUCGGACAAUUCAGGUUCGUACGAAGUUCGUUCAGAAAUAGAGUGGCUGAUGUAUUGUAUUGUUCUGGAGAUUGGAUUUCACUCAAAAAUCACCAAAUGACUCCUCCCACAAUAUUACGUACCCUCCUUGAGGGAUCAAGCCACACGUAGUUCUUCCUUAAAACCCAAUUCCACACUUGGGCGAUACCUUAUUUCAUUUCUCUGGAUUUCAUGUAAUCUCCCCAUACGUCGGUACAACCAACGCCACGUAUGGGGCCUGUCAACACGCCGGAUGACCUACGCCACGUGCGACCAUGCCAUAUUAUCAUAAUAUCUCCCCAUACGCCGGUACAACCAACGCCACGUAUGGGGUCUGUCUCAACGCCAGAUAACCUACGCCACGCGAGACCUGCACAUCAUAUCACAUAACUCCCCAUACGCCGGUACAACCAACGCCACGUAUGGGGCCUGUCCCAACGCCGGAUAACCUACGCCACGUGGGACCUCAACAUCAUAUCACAAAUCUCCCCAUACGUCGGUACAACCAACGCCACGUAUGGGGUCUGUCGACACGCCGGAUAACCUACGCCACGUGCGACCUCAACACAAUAUCACAUAGCUCCCCAUACGCCGGUACAACCAACGCCACUUAUGGGGCCUGUCUCAACGCCGGAUAACCUACACCACGUGAGACCUAAACAUAAUAUCACAAAUCUCCCCAUACGCCGGUACAACCAACGCCACGUAUGGGGCCUGUUCCAACGCCGGAUAACCUACGCCACGCGGGACCUCAAUUUCACUUGGUGGUACUUGUAGUAAAUCCAACAUCCGGGGAGGUACCUAAAGUAGUGCGUAUAGCACUCAAAACUGACAUUCUAGACUCUGUUGUACCCUUGUACAACCAUAUAUAAUUAUAAUUAUAUAAAUUAAUUCUAAUUAUAUAAAUUAAUUCUAAUAUUGUGUAACCCUCCACAAUCAUCUAGUACCCGAUAAUCUCCCCUAGAAAUGUGAGAUUACUCCGGGAGACUCACGGUCAACCAAGGGUCAAACUUCUCUAACCCUGGUCAAACGGACCUGCAGAACCCAUGACCUCCAAUUUCCGAUCCGAAGGUCCCUAUGGGUUCUACCAGGUAUAGGACACUUGUCCUGCAAGUUUGGUUCAGAUCGGACGGUCGGAUUGCUCACGAUCGCACGAUCUGACGGUUAAUAUAAAAUAUAAACUUUAAAUUAUUAUUCGGAACAUCCGGGGCUCCGAUUCACGAUCCGUGAAUUCUUACACGAUCCUCGAAUUACCUAGAUUAACAUAUAUUAAAUUUGGGACCAUCCAACGGCCCCAACCUAUCGAACCCGGAUAACGCACAAUAUGCGAAUAUCCGUUCGAUAGUCAAACGACGUCCGAAUUGAGAUCCGCGAAAUCCUACACACUCGUGACAACCUAAGGAUCUCAUCGGAACACAUUGUUACUUUUUCCACAGUGCCCACGCGCCACCGCACGCGCCGGCAGCGCUGGGUGUCCAAAGCGAUAACGCUUUGCCGGAAAAUCUCAAAACCACGGCUCCAAACUCCUACCCUAGGUAUAACACCCUAUUUGGAGCCACUUUUGUUCUUGGACCUACCCCAAAAAGUGGCCGGAAAUGGCCGAUCACGGCGGCCAAAGUUUCGGCCGAUUUUCAAUUCGAAAAUCGAGUUGUCUACACUAAGAAUCGAUCUAAUCCUACCCAACCAUCAGCUAGAGCAGCUCGAGAGGUUCAAAAUCCAUACCUGGGUCGACGGAAUUGGUGGCCGGAGGAGGAAGAUCGGCGGUUUUGAAGUUUGGACGACGUCGGCCGCUUCAUCUCCAGAUUCCGGCGAAUCCGCGGCGGCUGGUGGUGGGAGGUAGCUGGGAUAGGAAGAGGACGACGGCCCGGUCAUUUUUGUACCGGUCCCGUCAUCAUUGGUGGCCGGAGGAGAGCACGGCCGGCCAAAACGUGGCCGGCUGUCGCGCGCGAGAGAGAGACCCGCGGGGAGGAGAGAGAGAGAGAGAAAACCAGAUUUUUAUAAAAAUCCCAUUUCGAAAUAUUUACGAUUGUGCCACUGGAUUUCUUUUGACCAUAUCUCUCUCGUUACAACUCCGAUUCGAGCCCACUACGUGUCUAUGAACUCGUCUCAGUACGACCUAUCCAAAAAUACAAGUCACGGUCCCAAACUCUCUCUGGUUAAAAAUAUGACUAAAAUACCCUUAAAUAAUUAAAUAAGGGUAAAAUUUGGGGAAAAUUUGGGGUCGGGGUGUUACAUCCUCCCACAAUAUUUUGAAGUUCCCCAAGUUUUGGAGUCAAUCCUAUAUCGAUUGGUCCACGAAAUUUGACAAUUCAGGUUCGGACGAAGUUCGUUCUGAAAUGGAGUGGUUGGUGUAUUGUAUAGUUCUAGGGAUUGGAUUUCACUCAAAACCUAUCAAAUGACUCCUCCAAAAAUAUUAUGAUGUUCCCCAAGUUUUGGACUCAAUUCGAUUUCGAUUGGUCCUUGAAAUCGGAUAAUUCAGGUUCGUACGAUGUUCGUUCUGAAAUGGAGUGGUUGGUGUAUUGUAUAGUUCUAGAAAUUGGAUUUCAUUCAAAACCCACCAAAUGACUCCUCCCGCAAUAUUAUGAUGUUCCUCAAGUUUUGGACUCAAUCCGAUAUCGAUUGGUUAAUGAAAUUGAACAAUUCAAGUUCGUACGAAGUACGUUCCGAAAUGGAGUGGUUGGUUUAUUGUAUAGUUCUAGGGAUUGGAUUUCACUCAAAACCCACCGAAUGACAACUCCCACAAUAUUAAGAUGUUUCCCAAGUUUUGGACUCAAUCUGAUAUCGAUUGUUCCUUGAAAUCGGACAAUUCAGGUUCGUACGAAGUUGGUUCUGAAAUGGGGUGGUUGGUGUAUUGCACAGUUCUAGAGAUUGGAUUUCACUCAAAACCCACCAAAUGACUCCUCCCACAAUAUUAUGAUGUUCCCCAAGUUUUGGACUCAAUCCAAUAUCGAUUGGUUCAUGAAAUCGGACAAUUCAGGUCCGUAUGAAGUUCAUUCUGAAAUGGAGUGGUUACUGUAUUAUAUAGUUCUAGUGAUUGGAUUUCACCCAAACCCCACCAAAUGAGAACUCCCACAAUAUUAUGAUGUGCCCCAAGUUUUGGACUCAAUCCGAUAUCGAUUGGUCAAUGAAAUCGGACAAUUCAAGUUCGUACGAAGUUCGUUCUGAAAAGGAGCGGCUGAUGUAUUGUGCAGUUCUAGAGAUUGGAUUCACUCAAAACCCACCAAAUGACUACUCCAACAAUCUUAUGAUGUUCCCCAAGUUUUGGACUCAAUCCGAUAUCGAUUGAUCCACGAAAUCGGCCAAUUUAGGUUCGUGUGAACUGUGUUUUGAAAUGGAGUGUUUGGUGUAUUGUAUAGUUCUAGAUAUUGGAUUUCACUCAAAAUCAACCAAAUGACUCCUCCCACAAUAUUAUGAUGUUCCCCAAGUUUUGGACUCAAUCCAAUAUCGAUUGGUCCAUGAAAUCGGACAAUUCAGGUCCAUACGAAGUUCGUUUUGAAAUGGAGUGGUUAGUGUAUUAUGUAGUUCUAGGGAUUGGAUUUCACUCAAAACCCACCAAAUGACAACUCCCAUAAUAUUAUGAUGUUCCCCAAUUUUUGGACUCAAUCCGAUAUCGAAUGGUCAAUGAAAUCGGACAAUUCAAGUUCGUAUGAAGUUCGUUCUGAAAUGGAGUGGUUGGUGUAUUGUAUAGUUCUAGGGAUUGGAUUUCACUCAAAACCCACCAAAUGACUCCUCCCACAAUAUUAUGAUGUUCCCCAAGUUUUGGACUGAAUCCGAUAUCGAUUGGUCCAUGAAAUCGGCUAAUUCAGGUUCGUGUGAACUAUGUUCUGAAAUGGAGUGGUUGGUGUAUUGUACAGUUCUAGAGAUUGGAUUUCACUCAAAAUCCCCCAAAUGACUCGUCCCACAAUAUUAUGAGGUUCCCCAAGUUUUGGAGUCAAUCUGAUAUCGAUUGGUCCUUGAAAUCGGCCAAUUCAGGUUCCUGGGAAUUGCGUUCUGAAAUGGAGUGGUUGGUAUAUUGUAUUGUUCUAGAGAUUGGAUUUCACUCAAAAUCCACCAAAUGACUCCUCCUACAAUAUUAUGGUGUUCCCCAAGUUUUGGACUCAAUCCGAUAUCGAUUAGUCCUUGUAAUCGGACAAUUCAGGUUCGUGUGAACUGUGUUCUGAAAUGGAGUGGUUGGGGUGUUGCAUAAUUCUAGAGAUUGGAUUUCACUCAAAAUCCACCAAAUGACUCUUCCCCCAAUAUUUUGAUGUUCCCCCAGUUUUAGACUCAAUCAGAUAUUGAUUGGUCCUUGAAAUCGGACAAUUCAGGUUCGUACGAAGUUCGUUCUGAAAUGGAGUGGUUGGUGUAUUGUAUAGUUCUGCCAAUUGGAUUUCACUCAAAACCCGCCAAAUGACUCCACCCACAAUAUUACGAUGUUCCCCCAGUUUUGGACUCAAUCAGAUAUCGACUGGUCCACGAAAUUUGACAAUUCAGGUUCGUAUGAAGUACGUUCAGAAAUGGAGUGGUUGGUGAAUUGUAUAUAGUUCUAGGGAUUGGAUUUCAUUAAAAACCCACCAAAUGACUCCUCCCACAAUAUUUUGUUGUUCCCCAAGUUUUGGACUCAAUCCGACAUCGAUUGGUCCUUGAAAUCGAACAAUUCAGGUUCGUGCAAAGUUCACUCUAAAAUGGAGUGGCUGAUGUAUUGUAUAGUUCUAGAGAUUGGAUUUCGCUCAAAACCCACCAAAUGACUACUCCCACAAUAUUAUGACGUUCCCCAAGUUUUGGACUCAAUCCGAUAUCAAUUGGUCUUUGAAAUUGGACAAUUCAGGUUUGUACGAAGUUCGUUCUGAAAUGGAGUGGUUGGUGUAUUGUAUAGUUCUAGAGAUUGUAUUUCACUCAAAACCCACCGAAUAACUCCUCCCACAAUACGAUGAUGUUCUCCGUGUUUUGGACUCAAUCCGAAAUCGAUUGGUCCACGAAAUUUGACAAUUCAUGUUCGUACGAAGUUCGUUAUGAAAUGUAGUGGUUGGUGUAUUGUAUAGUUCUAGGGAUUAGAUUUCACUCAAGGCCCACCAAAUGACUCCACCCACAAUAUUACGAUGUUCCCCAAGUUUUGGACUCAAUUCGACAUCGAUUGGUCCUUGAAAUCAGACAAUUCAGGUUCGUACGAAGUUCGUUCUGAAAUGGAGUGGCUGAUGUAUUAUAUAGUGCACGAGAUUGGAUUUCACUCAAAACCCACCAAAUGACUCCGCCCACAAUAUUAUGAUGUUCCCCAAGUUUUGGACUCAAUCCGAUAUCGAUUGGUCCUUGAAAUCGGACAAUUCAGGUUCGUACGAAGUUCGUUCUGCAAUGGGGCGGUUGGUGUGUUGUAUAGUUCUAGGGAUUGUAUUUCACUCAAAACCCACCAAAUGACUCCUCCC